UCGGGAAUUUUGGGCAAUGGGCGAAAGCCUGACCCAGCAACGCCGCGUGAAGGAUGAAGUAUUUCGGUAUGUAAACUUCGAAAGAAUAGGAAGAAUAAAUGACGGUACUAUUUAUAAGGUCCGGCUAACUACGUGCCAGCAGCCGCGGUAAUACGUAGGGACCAAGCGUUGUUCGGAUUUACUGGGCGUAAAGGGCGCGUAGGCGGCAAUUCAAGUCAUCUGUGAAAUCUCCGGGGCUUAACUCGGAACGGUCAGAUGAUACUGCUUUGCUAGAGUGCAGAAGGGGCAAUCGGAAUUCUUGGUGUAGCGGUGAAAUGCGUAGAUAUCAAGAGGAACACCUGAGGUGAAGACGGGUUGCUGGGCUGACGACUGACGCUGAGGCAC
rnacentral:rRNA from 1 species